rnacentral:rRNA from 1 species
GACGAACGCUGGCGGCGUGCUUAACACAUGCAAGUCGAACGGUGAAGCGAGUGCUUGCACUCGUGGAUCAGUGGCGAACGGGUGAGUAACACGUGAGUAACCUGCCCAUCACUCUGGGAUAAGCACUGGAAACGGUGUCUAAUACUGGAUACGACCAACCCUUGCAUGGGGUGUUGGUGGAAAGAUUUAUCGGUGAUGGAUGGACUCGCGGCCUAUCAGCUUGUUGGCGGGGUAAUGGCCCACCAAGGCGACGACGGGUAGCCGGCCUGAGAGGGUGACCGGCCACACUGGGACUGAGACACGGCCCAGACUCCUACGGGAGGCAGCAGUGGGGAAUAUUGCACAAUGGGCGAAAGCCUGAUGCAGCGACGCCGCGUGAGGGAUGACGGCCUUCGGGUUGUAAACCUCUUUCAGCAGGGAAGAAGCGAAAGUGACGGUACCUGUAGAAGAAGCACCGGCUAACUACGUG